AUUCCCUGUGUUCCUAAUGUAAUUUUGGGUUUUGGGCCUUAAAUGUUUGGCCCAAUUCUGAUGUGCGAAGUUGUCCAGGCGUGGACCUUUUCAACCUAAGGAUUAAAUCGGCUGCUUGGGCAUUUGAACAAGAAAUGGGCGAUUUUUACAGCCCAAUUAUCAGGAGUCCAGCAUUUAACAGUGAGAUUUUCAAUUCUCACCCAACAAAGAGAUCGUAAUAGGACAAGUUGUGGAUAAGGUGGAUCACAGUGUAUUAUAUUAAAAACAUGCCAAUAAAGUCCAUGCCAAUUCCUACCCAAGCUAGCUGGAUGGUUAAGAAGAUCAUCCAAUCCAGGGACACUCUACAAAGGCUCCAGAACUGGAAACAUCAGAAAUGCACGACGAGACAGUUGUACCAGUCACAGUUGCAAGAAGUGCCGACAGUCCCAUGGAAGAAUUUAAUCAUACAAAACCAAGCCAGACCAAACGCAGUGUUCAACCUGUGGCUAUUCCUACAGGACAGACUCCCAACACAGUCCCAUGGAAGAACUUAAUCAUACAAAACCAAGCCAGACCAAAAGCAGUGUUCAACCUGUGGCUAUUCCUACAGGACAGAUUACCAACAAAUGAUAGACUACAUAGUUGGGGAAUGAGUAUUGAUCAGCAAUACACCCUAUGCCAAAUCCAACCUGAAACAAGAGAUCAUCUGCUCAGGAACUGCCCUGUCACUGUGGAUCUAUGGGGAAUGAACUGGCUGCAGGAACAAUACCUACCUAGUAUUAGUUGGAACCAGAAAGUGCAAUGGUUUGAACUGGUUGCAGGAACAAUACCUACCUAGUAUUGAUUGGAACCAGAAAGUGCAAUGGUUGAUUACCAAAGCCAAGGGACGAACAUGUCGUGCAACCAUUUUUAAAAUGGUUACAGCUGAAGUUGCAUAUGCUAUCUGCUGGAAAGGAAUUCAAGAGUAUUCAACAAGACUUUUCGAUGUAAUACUGCUUUACUGAGAGACAUAGUGUAUAAUUGUAAUGUUAGAGGCGCCCCUAGAAUUAGGCAACAAUUGCAACACCUUAGAUUGUAGUAAAAGUUAGAUAGUUAGGAUAAUAAGUGUAGUUAAUAUGUUAGCACUCAGACAGUCGGCCGAGUUGAAGCUUGACUGUGGUUUUGUAAUGUAACUUCAUUGGUGAUUAAUGAAAAAACCUUAAUUACCAAAAAAAAAGAGAUCGUAAUAGGUGAAUGCAAUAUCUUAUGUUAUUAAGUGCAUGACCAACACUAUAGCUAAUUUUAUACCGUGUACUCAUAUGAGUUUGAAAUUCCAGUUUGAGGCGAUGCUUUCAAAUUCGACUGCCUAAUCUGAUUGUCCUUUUGAUUUGUUUAAAUGAGACUACCACAUAUCCCUACUACAUUACCUACUAGAAAAAAUUUUAACAUGAAAACGCACAACCAUUACAAAAUGCUAUCACUGAGCAUGGCAUUUCUUGUUACUGAUAUUUAACACAGUCCUAGACAACUUUUAACAUCAAUACUGCAGCUAAUUAACAGAUAUAUGUAACCACUAACAGAAAUGAACUUGCUCUUUUACUAAGAAGAAUAAAAUUUUAACAGUCCUAUAUCAGUCUAAUUAUACAUUCAGCAACAAUUCACACGACAUUAGUGAAUGAAAUAUCCAAAAUACGAAUCAGUGGAACAGUUAAAUCAACUUAAGCUUCAAAUCCUCAUGUAUAUUCAGGCUCAAUGUUUCCUGCUUACAAAUUUGCAAGGUUACAGCCGUGUACCUGGGAAUCAGUUUACAGCAGAUGAAGAAGGAGUCAGCAAUAGUUAGCGCAUGUAACAGUAGAGCAGCAAUCACCAGCAACAAAUAGGACCAAUUCAGGGGUAAACCAAAUCAGAAUAUCCAGGAAGAAAGAGAAUCAAUCCAAAACCAUACUGAACUUAAUCGAAAUUGGACUGGGAGAAUUAUAAAUCACCUUGAGUCACGAGAUUUAACCUACAAUCAGCUCAAACCCAUUCACACAGACUCGAAACUGAAACCAAGUGAUCCAAUACCCCUACAGCUACUAGAAAUGUGCAGUGAUGAUUUGACUAAGCCUCAAAACUACUUUCAAUGGCCAUGAAUAUGAAGAUUACCCAAGGAAGCAAUUGAACAGUAAACUGCUUUUUUGUUUUUUUGUUUGUUUUCUAUUGUUGUUAGAUUUUUGAAUAUUUUAGAGUUUUGAUCUCAAGUUUCAGAUAUGAAACUUGUAGAGAAUGGGAGGGAAUUUUGUGAGGCUCCAAAACUUGUUAGUGAAGAAAAGGUCAUGCCCUUUUAUAAGCACAAUCAAAUUUUCAGUUUUUCUUUUAGU
rnacentral:lncRNA from 1 species